rnacentral:pre_miRNA from 1 species
AAGAAGAACGCUAGGUUGAGUACGGGUAUUCUUGGGUAAAUAAUAUACCAAGAAGGAUGUUAUUGCUUGAGAAUACACGUAGCAAACCUAAGCUUUAUCGA